ACCUUAGGCAGUAGUUCUUCCAUAUCUACUGUCCCUAGGGUCACUUCUCCAUGGAGUGCAGGGGGGGUCUCUGCACUGCAGUCCUUCAUAGGGUGAGCUGUACUGAUGUGGAUCCCCCACAGGGCCGUGAGUCCUACCCAGGAAUAACGUGCUCUGGCAUGGAUUUUCCUCUCCACGGGCCACAAGUCUCUUAAAGGGCUCCACUCCAUCCUGGGCCUUCCAUGGGGGAAACGGCCUUCUUUCAUGCAUCCAUCUGCUCCAACUGGGGCUCGGCUGCACUGCAGCAGGUCACCCUGGCCCCGGCCCAGCUUGACUCGGCCAGGGGGGUGAUGCCAGAGCUGUGAAUAUUGCAGGGAAGUGGAGGGCUGCCCCAACACAAUGUCCUGCCUCUUCUAUGGGAAACCUGAACAGCAAAAAAGAAGUGCAUUGUUCAAGAGACAAAUGUAUGUUCUGUGCCAAUGCAGACAGGAGUCUUUCUGCUGUAGAUGGGAGACGGAGGAACAGGAAGCCCAAGAUUUGUCUAAGUAGUAUGGACCAUCUGUACCUAAACAGGAAAUGAACUGGGUCACCAGAGCUCCAGAAAAAGGUUGUCAUCAUAGGGUCAUCUAUUUUCACCAUGCUACAAUGCUUCUUGUGAAAUAAAAUGCCUUUUGCUGCUCCCCUGGGAAUCCAAUUCUGUGUACUGAAUAAAUAAAACAGCGAA